GAACGCACAUUGCGCCCGCCAGCAUCCUGGCGGGCAUGCCUGUUCGAGCGUCAUUUCAACCCUCAAGCCCCCGCGGCUUGGUGUUGGGGACCUGCGCACCGCAGCCCCCUAAAGACAGCGGCGGGCGUGGCCUGGCACCGAACGUAGUAGACUCUCUCUCGUUCGCGGUCCAGUUCGCGCUCCGGCCGGUAAACCCCCAUCUUUUAACAAUGGUUGACCUCGGAUCAGGUAGGAAUACCCGCUGAACUUAAG
rnacentral:misc_RNA from 1 species